GAAGGAACAUGCUCUUCAGGCUCAUGGAAUUUGGAAAAUAUUCUUUCAAAAGAUUUUGAACAUGGUAUUUUUAAUAAUUUUUGGGUGGCUGGAGAGACGACAAACCAAAGGAGUUUGUUUUUCUGCCUUCUCCCUGCUGAUUACCUUAGUGCAGCUCCUGUACUUCUGGGAAGUGCUGGCUCCCCUCUAUCAACUACUGCAAAAUCAGCCUUAAGGAUCAGAGCUGGCUGACAGGCUGGACCAGGAACAUCUCAUGAACGGAGAGCAACUUCAUAUUAGACAUUCAGGUCUCCUCAGGGCCCAGAGUGGACCAGUGCCACAUCCACCUGGUACCUGUA
rnacentral:lncRNA from 1 species